UGCUCACGAUAUAUAUGCUUGAGCAGCAAGGCAAAGGCAAGAAUUAGGUAGGUCGCUUUCUUGUGAAAUAUUCUUGCCAAAUUAGAAUAGUCCGAUUGACAUAAAUAUGAUUUGUACAUAUUAAUUAGGCUCUAAUUAAGUGGAGAUGGAUCGAGGAUCUAAAGUCGAUAUCUCCAAAGCGAACGCCCUAUGUUUUUCACCAUAGACUAGAAAACCACUCUGCUACAGCUCUUUGUUUCUCUUGUUUUUCUCGAUAUCAGUUGUAUCACUUUUGGCAGAUAUAUAAGUUUAAUUACACUUGUACCAAGAGUGGCUGCAUGUGUUUUUGUAUAAACCCAAUCAAAACCUCUGCUCCAAAGUGCCAUUUACCUUCGAUCAUCUUCAUAACAACUCCUUUCUUUUUCUGAGCUUCAAUUUCUGCUCUUCCAAAACCAGAAAGAAGUUGCAUGACCUUUAAUUAUUAAGAACAAUGCGUGUCGCAACGAUGAUGUUUGGGUCAGUAGCAAGAACGACAAGCGCAUUGAUGGUCCAUCCUGUUUCAACCUUGACAACAUUGUUGUACUACAGUGAUCGCCUACCUCGUAACCUCAAUUUGGAUCGGUUUGUUCGUAGUGACUUGGCUGAUAGUGGAAACUACUUGUUUCGUUUUCUCAUCAACUUUUUGAGAUGUUUUUGGUAGUACUCAUUUUAAUUUUACUUUUUCGGCCUA